CUAACCCACCUCCUUCCGCCGGAGGCAGCCGUCGUGGGCGAGCGAGCAACGGCGGCAGCCGGAGCGAGGGAGCCCGCGGCGCCGUGACUAGCUGCCGACGGAUCCACCUCCACCAUCUCCUUCCUCGCUGCUUUCACGCCCCUGCCUCCCUGCUUUCACGCGCCGUCGACUCCGCCACCUGCUUCUACCCACCGUCGGCGCCGCCCUCUGCUUCCACCACGCCACCGGCCUGCCUCCCCGCUGCUCCCACCGGAGCGCCGCCCCCCUGCUUCCACCGCGCCGCCCGCCCACCUCCCCGCUGCUUCCACCGUGCCACUUGCUCGCCUCCCCGCUGCUCCCAUCGGAGCGCCGCCCCCUGCUUCCACCGCGCCACCGGCCAAUCUCCCAUCGCCGCGGAAAUCUCCCCACAACAGCCUUCGUGGCCACACCCAUCACCAUCAUCGGUGACCCGCCCCACCGCCGCCUCGGCCACCUACCCUCAACUGCGUCGCAACCCUGGCCUCAUAUCACCUAAUCCCACGACAAAAGGCUAGGAUACCGCCGCUGCUGCCCGUGCGUCUCCGGCCACAUCUCGACGCCAUCCCGAUGCGCUGCCACCCUCCACCGACCCAUCUCCCCCUUCCCCCCACCGGCCAUGGCCUCUCUCUCUUUCUCUGGGCAUGAGCUUUGACCAGUGCACACAAUGUGCUCGUCCAAAUGCAUCAGCGCCUGAAGUGCUAGUCCUGUGUUCUUCUCGUGGAGCUUCUCGAAUAUAGAUCAGUUAUGUCAAUAUUCGACAAGAAAAAAUAUCAAGGUUUGCUCCGAUCUUCGCAAAACAGUUCAACCACUAAGCACACACAACAAGGACACCAUCACUUUGUUUGCACAUUCCCUUCUGAAGUUCUGAUGCAUGCUCAGUACAUCAAUUGAUGCUGCUCAGUUCAAAUUCUUAUCUCACUGCUGCUCUGCGGGACUCUGUAUUUUGUUUUCUGUAUUGCUAUGUUGUCAGUCCAAUGUUUGGAGAAAAAGAUGGAGUUCUGGGUGCGCGGAUGUUGCGGUGUGUGGCUAGUCAGAGGGUGCAGUACCUGACCACCCGCUACCCUGCUCGUCGCCCCUUCUCCUACCUGUAGCUCUUCCACUUGCAUUCAUGUG